rnacentral:lncRNA from 1 species
UUUCCAGAGGCUUUCCAAGCCUCAUCUCUCACUGUAGUAUUGCCAUAGCCCUUCUGUUCUUCCAGCUUCCAGCCUUAGUCCCCUAGAGCCUACUCUCAUCUCAGCAACCAGGAUCAUGUCGUAUGGUGUACUGCCUCUGCUCAAAAUCCUCCAGUGUCACCCACCUCACUCAGAGCAAAUGCCAAAGCCAGAAUGAUAUGGGCCUGCUGUUCUCCUAGUGCUCUGCUGCUUGCUCACCUUCUUGGUUGUCCUCCUACUCAUCUUGUUCUUCUUCUUGCUCACCUCCUUGCUCACUCUCAUUGCUUAUCUACUUGUUCUCCUCCUUGCUUACCUUCUUGCUGUUCUGCGUGCUUUCUGUUCUUGCUCACUCUCCUUUCACACCUCCUUAUUCUCCUCCUUGCUCACCUCCUUGCUUACCUACUUACUCUCCUUACUCAUCUCCUUGCUUACCUCCUUACUCUCCUUGCACACCUCCUUGCUCACUCUUAUUGCUUACCUCCUUGCGUGUUCUCCUGGAUCACCUCCUUGCCUAACUCACUGUUCUUUUCCUUGCUCACUUCCCAUCUUCACCACCUUAUUCUCCUCCUCACCUCCUUGCUUACCUCCUUACUCUUUGCUCACCUCCUUAUCUCCUUACUCUUCUUGCACACCUCCUUGCUCACCUCCUUGCUUACUUCCUUACUCUCUUUGCUCGCCUCCUUGCUCACUCUCAUUGGUUAUCUACUUGUUCUCCCCCUUGCUCACCUCUUUGCUUAUUUCCUUACUCUCCUUGCACACCUCCUUGCUCACUCUCAUUGCUUACCUCCUUGCGUGUUCUCCUGGAUCACCUCCUUGCUCAAGUCACUCUUCUUUUCCUUGCUCAUCUCCCAUCUUCACCUCCUUGUUCUCCUCCUUACUCACCUCCUUAUCUCCUUACUCUUUUGCUCACUCUUCUUUCUCUCCUCCUUGCUCACCUUUGUCCUCUUCUUCUUGCUGUCCUCCAUGCUCUCCUUCUUGCUUUCUCUCUUUGCUCUUUUCCUUACUCACCUCCCAGCUGUCCUC